CCUUUCCCUGGAAGUUCCCUCAGCCAGCAGCAUCCUUUCCUCCUGUGCUCCACCUAAACUGUUUCUCCUGUUCCUUUUCCCUCCAGAUCGCUACACAAUGUCAUGUCUCCUGAGACUUCCUCUGGGGCCUUCCAGGCAGAAGUAUGAUCCUUCUCUGGUCCCUCACCUUAGCUGCCUGAAAGCCAGGCUUCCACCAGGAGCCUUCAGAUGAAGAUGGAGAACUCUCAGCAACUUCUGCACCAUGCCUGCCUCGAUGCUGCCAUGCUCCUGCCUUGAUGAUAAUGGACUGAACCUCUGAACCUAUAUCCCUGCUUCCAGUUGAGAACUCCGAUCCUGUGUCGAGGCUGGACCCUGACGAAGAAGGAGAAGAUUUAAAGAGACACCUGCUCAUCACACAUCAUGGGGUACUGACAGACUAAAGAUACAAUUCUACCAGGUCCAGUUUGUUGAACUCAUAUAUUUUAUUGAGGCUAGAUACAGGAGUAACUGUGACUCAAAAACAGCUGAAUUACCAAAAGUCCCAUCCCAACAUGGAUCCGACUCAGUUAUGUGUGUGUGUGUGUGUGUGUGUAUGAAUGGCUUACAGGCUAUGGUCCAACUAGUCCAACAAUGAGUUAGUACUAAUGGAAUGUUCAAGAAUCCAGUAUUUGUUCAGUCCACCAGGCUAGAUGUCUCAGAUAACCUUCAGUUAUGCUGGAAUCCCAAAGAAGAAGGCUCUAAUAACAAUGAACGAAUGGACUUGCCAGCAAGAACAAAAACAAGCAGGCAAAGAAAGUUUCCUUCUUCUAUGUCCUUUAGAUAGGCUGCCAGCAGAAGGGGUGGCCCAGAUUAAAGGUAUAUCUUACCACCUCAAAGAUCCAAAUUAAAAGCUGGUCUUCCCACUUCAAAUUAUUUAAUUAAUAAAAAACUCUCUCACAGGUAAACCCAGCCAUUCAGGUUUUAGUACACUCCAUAUAUAGUCAAAUUGACAACCAAGAAUAACCAUCACAGGACACCAAGGCAGAACUUCAAACAACUAAGCAUAUCCUGUCCAUAGUCAAGAGCGUAUAUCUUCACAGAGAAAAGAACACAUGCAUAUUCAUUUGCUUUAUUUCUUAUGCUCACAAAUAUAUGUUUGCAUAGAGACGUGAGCACACACAUACUCACUUGCUUUAUUGCUUGUGCUCAUUUCCAUACCCCUGCUUUUAUAUAGUUCUGAUCACACUACUAAGGGAAUGAUGCCACCCAGAGUGGGCUAGGUUUUUCUCCAUGAAUUAAUAUAAUUGUGGUAAUCUUCCACAGACAUGCCAACCCAAUCCAGACCAUCCCUCAUGAAGACUUCCUUUCUAGUGAAUCUAGGUUGGGAUAAGUUGACAGUUAAAGCUAACCAUUACAGGAUUUGUUUAUUUAUCUGUUUGUUUUUAAUCAUCUCUUUGCUACAUCAACUCUAGCUUUUUACUAUUUACCUUAAGAGUCUUCUUUUACAUCUAAUCAACCAUAUAUUCCUAGGCUUAAUUCAAACGAUAAGAUAUUGAUUCAGCAUAAGAAUAAGACACCCACAAACUGUUUCCAAUGACCACUCCAAAAUUCUAAAAAGUAUACCAUGGACAUAGAAACACAGCUUGGGCCAUCACAUCUGGAGAAGAACUACAAGUCAUCUAUUUUCUGACUCAAAUUUAACCUUUUAUCAGAUGUUCGCUGAAAUAGAAGCCUUAUAAGUAUGUGCUGGCUGAUAUGUGCCCAAAGGUUGCAAGAACUUGAAGAUGGAUGAUUACAAUGGGGAUUUCAAAGGGGAACAAAGAAAAAGUAGUGAUCAAAGGUCCACACUGACACCACUCACUUUCCUGGUUUGCUGGUUUGCUGGUUUACUCACAAGACUACUUAGCCUCCGUAAUCACAUGAGACCGUUCCCACACUAAAUCUCUCAUACAUUUAUUGCUAAGAUAUAAGCUCCCCAGAGGUGUGACAGUACUAAGAAGACAUGAUCUUUCAAAGAUGGGACCAUGGCAGGACAUUAGGGGCAUGCCCUUCUAAAUGACUGAUGCAGUCCCAGUAAUUGCUCUCUGGCUUUCUAUUGAUCUGUUUGGGUCCUUGUCCUCAUACUGACUCACACGAUUGUAGUGCUAUCUUCCACUCAUGGAUAGUCUUCAACAGAACUAAGCCAAUGCAUCAUGGCAAGCUCUUGAUUUCCUAUUACUGUUAACUAAAUAAUGUUCUUUAUCAGGUACUCAGCCUCGGAUAUUUUGUUAUAUAACAACAUGAAUCAGACAUCUUGUCGUUGACAUCUACAUGUUCUGUUGAUUCUCUUUGUCUAAAUAAAACUGCCUAAUAAACCCUCAAAAAAAAAAAAA
rnacentral:lncRNA from 1 species